AAUAAAUAAAAUCUUAAAAAAGAAGAAAGAUUGAUUUUAUUUAGGCUGCUACAGUAGGGAGAUCACCCAGAUCUAUAGAUCAGUAUCUCGGCAGGGUAGUAUUGCCUUAGACUUUUAAUAGGGUGAAGUGGACAAGUUAUAGGUGGAAUGAUUUACAGUUGGGAGAAUUUCACAAUCAGAAGUCUCAGUCAGGUCAGCCGCUCCCUCUGGGCCUCGGUCCUCCACCUGUGUCCGCCAGAGCCUGUUUGCGUCGACUGACCAGAGUCCGCGAAUUCUCCGCUCUGAGCCGAUCCGCACUGUCCCGAUCCCAGCUUUCUAUCCUUUGAAAACACUAAGAAUAAUGUCCCUGCAUCAGUUUUAACUAGAGCCAAUCACCUGUCAUGCCUGGAACAGGGAUUGUACCCAGAUUGCUCUUAGCCCCAAUAAUCAUGAAGUCCACAUCUAUAAGAAGAACGGGAGCCAGUGGGGGAAAGCUCAUGAACUCAAGGAGCACAACGGACACAUUACAGGUAUCGACUGGCUCCCAAGAGUGACCUCAUCGUCACUUGUGGGGCAGACCGCAAUGCCUAUGUCUGGAGUCAGAAAGAUGGUGUCUGGAAGCCAGCCCUGGUGAUCCUGAGAAUUAAUCGUGCAGCGACUUUUGUCAAGUGGUCCUUGCUAGAGAACAAAUUUGCUGUGGGAAGUGGAGCGCGACUCAUUUCUGUUUGUUACUUUGAGUCUGAAAAUGACUGGUGGGUAAGCAAGCACAUUAAAAAGCCAAUUCGAUCCACGGUCCUCAGCUUGGAUUGGCAUCCCAACAAUGUUUUGCUGGCAGCAGGAUCAUGUGAUUUCAAAUGCAGAGUGUUUCUGCCUACAUUAAAGAAGUGGAUGAAAAGCCAGCCAGUGCGCCCUGGGGCAGCAAGAUGCCUUUUGGUCAGCUGAUGUCAGAGUUUGGUGGCAGCGGCACUGGUGGCUGGGUACAUGGGGUCAGCUUCUCUGCCAGUGGGAGCCGCCUGGCCUGGGUCAGCCACGACAGCACUGUAUCCGUUGCUGAUGCCUCAAAAAGUGUGCAGGUCUCAACUCUGAAAACAGAGUUCCUGCCCCUUCUGAGUGUGUCGUUUGUCUCAGAGAAUAGCGUUGUAGCUGCGGGCCAUGACUGUUGCCCAAUGCUCUUCAACUACAAUGACCGUGGCUGCUUGACCUUCGUCUCCAAACUAGACAUUCCCAAACAGAGCAUCCAGCGCAACAUGUCUGCCAUGGAGCGCUUCCGCAACAUGGACAAGAGGGCCACGACUGAGGACCGCAACACAGCCUUGGAGACGCUGCGCCAGAAUAGCAUCACUCAGGUGUCUAUUUAUGAGGUGGACAAGCAAGAUUGUCGCAAAUUUUGCACUACUGGCAUCGAUGGAGCCAUGACAGUUUGGGAUUUCAAGACCUUAGAGUCUUCCAUCCAGGGCCUCCGGAUAAUGUGAAGCUGAGUGAGCCUCCCAGAUCCAGCAUGACAAAUGGACAGACUGACAGACUGACAAAUGCACUGACGCAGCCCCGCCGUGUGCAUGGUGGUGAGGAGAGCCAGCCGCAAGGAGACACUGAAGACAGGUUUUGCACAAAUAUCGUUUGUGUGUUUUUGUUUGAAUAUAACUGGUGACAGUGUUGGUUUUUUAAAAGCAGCCGUGAUUUGGGUUUUUCUGUUUUUUGUUUUUGCUAUUUCAUUCCAUUCUUGACCAAAGCUUCUCUUUAAGUAGUAUAUUAUGGAAAAUUGUCACACUAACUUAAAGGAAAGGGUGGGAGACAUGUCCAUUGUCUGCUAAACAAAUAAAAAUACUGAAUGUGUAAAAAAAAAA